UACGGAGGGUGCAAGCGUUGUUCGGAAUUAUUGGGCGUAAAGGGCGCGUAGGCGGCCCAGCAAGUCUUGGGUGAAAUCCCUGGGCUCAACCCAGGAACUGCGUCCGAUACUGGAAGGCUUGAAUCCGGGAGAGGGAUGCGGAAUUCCAGGUGUAGCGGUGAAAUGCGUAGAUAUCUGGAGGAACACAGGUGGCGAAGGCGGCAUCCUGGACCGGUAUUGACGCUGAGGCGCGAAAGCCAGGGGAGCAAACGGG
rnacentral:rRNA from 1 species